AAAAACUGCUGUCGGAAAAAGCCAUGACGUUUCUAACCCUUCAGAGAACAGAAUGGAUUUGCAGUGAUUUCAGGUCUUUCAGUGAAUCAGGUCCAUACUUCAGAUACAGUCAGCAGCCAUUUUAUUAAACAGGAGGAAGCCAGAGUACCAAGACGAAACCAGACCAACAAUAAAACAUGCAAAAUACAUGUGGAAGUCCAUCUCACCACCCUGGAGCAGCUACCGCCUUCGCCACUGCACAGCUAUCGCUAUUUAGAUGUUUAAGUGAAACUGAAACUGAACUCAGUUUUUUUCUAUUAAUUUGAUUUAACAGUAAAGGAUAUAGAAGAAGCUCAUAUUUGUUCUACUGCAAAGUAUAUUGUAACCAACAAGUCAGACUAGAAUGAAAUAAAAUUCACACCAGUAAACCAG